UGGAAAAUUCCAUGCAUGGAGAAUCUCUUGUGGUUAUGACAGUUUGCUAAUAUCUUAAUGAGUGAAUUAUGAUAAUUAUGAAAAUCUUAGCUUUACAUUAUUUGUAGUGUGUGUGUGUGUGUGUGUGUGUGUGUGUGUGGUGUGAUAGGCCUCUCCAA
rnacentral:sRNA from 1 species